rnacentral:rRNA from 1 species
GUGUCAGCCGCCGCGGUAAUACGUAGGGGGCAAGCGUUGUCCGGAAUCAUUGGGCGUAAAGCGCGUGUAGGCGGCUGAGCAAGUCUGUUCUGAAAGCCCGAGGCUCAACCUCGGGAGGCGAAUGGAUACUGCUCAGCUCGAGUCCGGAAGAGGAGUGUGGAAUUCCUGGUGUAGCGGUGAAAUGCGCAGAUAUCAGGAGGAACACCAAUUGCGAAGGCAGCACUCUGGGACGUGACUGACGCUGAGACGCGAAAGCGUGGGGAGCAAACAGGAUUAGAAACCCCCGUAGUCC